UACGGGGGGAGCAAGCGUUGUUCGGAUUUACUGGGCGUAAAGGGCGCGUAGGCGGCCAGCACAAGUCAGUUGUGAAAUCUCCGAGCUUAACUCGGAAAGGUCAACUGAUACUGUGCGGCUAGAGUGCGGAAGGGGCAACUGGAAUUCUUGGUGUAGCGGUGAAAUGCGCAGAUAUCAGGAGGAACACCGGUGGCGAAGGCGGGUCUCUGGGCCGAUACUGACGCUGAGGAGCGAAAGCGUGGGGAGCAAACAGG
rnacentral:rRNA from 1 species